UUUCCGGUUGAUCCUGCCGGAGGCCACUGCUAUCGGGGUUCGAUUUAGCCAUGCGAGUCGAGAGGGUUUAGACCCUCGGCGGACUGCUCAGUAACACGUGGAUAACCUGCCCUAAGGUGGAGGAUAACCCCGGGAAACUGGGGAUAAUACUCCAUAGAUUAGAGAUACUGGAAUGUUCUUUAGUCAAAAGUUCUGGCGCCUUAGGAUGGAUCUGCGGUCGAUUAGGUUGUUGUUGGGGUAACGGCCCAACAAGCCUGUAAUCGAUACGGGUUGUGGGAGCAAUAGCCCGGAGAUGGAAUCUGAGACAAGAUUCCAGGCCCUACGGGGCGCAGCAGGCGCGAAAACUUUACAAUGCAGGAAACUGUGAUAAGGGAACCCCGAGUGCCCGUAUACGCGGGCUGUCCAGGUGUUUAAAAGUCAUCUGAAGAAAGGGCCGGGCAAGACCGGUGCCAGCCGCCGCGGUAAUACCGGCGGCUCGAGUGGUGGCCACUAUUAUUGGGCUUAAAGCGUCCGUAGCUGGACUGAUAAGUCUCUUGGGAAAUCCGCCGGCUCAACCGGCGGGCGUCUAAGGGAUACUGUUGGUCUAGGGACCGGGAGAGGUGAGAGGUACUCCGGGGGUAGGAGUGAAAUCCUGUAAUCCCCGGGGGACCACCGAUGGCGAAGGCAUCUCACCAGAACGGCUCCGACAGUGAGGGACGAAAGCUGGGGGAGCAAACCGGAUUAGAUACCCGGGUAGUCCCAGCCGUAAACUAUGCGCGUUAGGUGUGCUGGUGACCACGUGUCACCGGGGU
rnacentral:rRNA from 1 species